UACGAAGGGGGCUAGCGUUGUUCGGAAUCACUGGGCGUAAAGCGCACGUAGGCGGAUUCUUAAGUCAGGGGUGAAAUCCCGAGGCUCAACCUCGGAACCGCCUUUGAUACUGGGGAUCUCGAGUCCGGGAGAGGUGAGUGGAAUUGCGAGUGUAGGAGGUGAAAUUCGUAGAUAUUCGCAAGAACACCAGUGGCGAAGGCGGACUCACUGGCCCGGAACUGACGCUGAGGUGCGAAAGCGUGGGGAGCAAACAGGGAUUAAGAAACC
rnacentral:rRNA from 1 species